AGUCAUGUUUCUCUUCAGAUCGUAUAAAUCUUUCGCCUUUUACUAAAGAUUUCCUUGGGGAGGAACAUUAUGAGUAUAAACUAUUUUAGGGUGGCAUGGUGGUGUAGUGGUU